GGCCCCAUCGUCUAGAGGCCAAGGACACCACCCUCUCAAGGUGGAGACACGGGUUCGAAUCCCGUUGGGGCUGCCA
rnacentral:tRNA from 1 species